rnacentral:pre_miRNA from 1 species
GGCCUCCCUCUUUGGGGAGAUCAAUUGUGGAGCCUCCCCAUUGAUCGCCCUGUAGAGGGUGGCC